rnacentral:rRNA from 1 species
CAUUUCUAGCUUGCUAGAAGAUGACGAGCGGCGGACGGGUGAGUAAUACUUGGGGAUCUGCCUGAUGGCGGGGGACAACCACUGGAAACGGUGGCUAAUACCGCAUAAUGCCUACGGGCCAAAGUGUGGGACCUUCGGGCCACAUGCCAUCAGAUGAACCCAAGCGAGAUUAGCUAGUUGGUGAGGUAAUGGCUCACCAAGGCGACGAUCUCUAGCUGUUCUGAGAGGAUGAUCAGCCACACUGGGACUGAGACACGGCCCAGACUCCUACGGGAGGCAGCAGUGGGGAAUAUUGGACAAUGGGCGCAAGCCUGAUCCAGCCAUGCCGCGUGUGUGAAGAAGGCCUUCGGGUUGUAAAGCACUUUCAGUGGUGAGGAAGGCCUUGUAGUUAAUAGCUGCAAGGAUUGACGUUAGCCACAGAAGAAGCACCGGCUAACUCCGUGCCAGCAGCCGCGGUAAUACGGAGGGUGCGAGCGUUAAUCGGAAUUACUGGGCGUAAAGCGCACGUAGGCGGUUUGUUAAGCAAGAUGUGAAAGCCCAGGGCUCAACCUUGGAAUAGCAUUUUGAACUGGCAAGCUAGAGUUUUGAAGAGGGUGGUAGAAUUUCCAGUGUAGCGGUGAAAUGCGUAGAUAUUGGAAGGAAUACCAGUGGCGAAGGCGGCCACCUGGUCAAAAACUGACGCUGAGGAGCGAAAGCGUGGGGAGCAAACAGGAUUAGAUACCCUGGUAGUCCACGCCGUAAACGAUGUCAACUAGUUGUUCGCGUCUUUAAGACGUGAGUAACGCAGCUAACGCACUAAGUUGACCGCCUGGGGAGUACGGCCGCAAGGUUAAAACUCAAAUGAAUUGACGGGGGCCCGCACAAGCGGUGGAGCAUGUGGUUUAAUUCGAUGCAACGCGAAGAACCUUACCAUCCCUUGACAUCCA